rnacentral:lncRNA from 1 species
AUUUUGCUGACUCCAGGUGCUAGCAGCCUGCCCAGAACUGGAGAUGUCUUUUCUGUGUUCAUGGAGGAUGAAGAAGGGUCCAUCAGAGUGAGGAGCGGAUUCCACAUUGCAAGCUCCCAAUUCCAAAUCCCAAAUCCAGUCUCUAGGUCUUGGCAUUGGCUCAUAUUUGGAGUUGGUAUUGUGAGAUGUUAAGUGAAACUUAAACAGAAGAGAUGCUCUGAUAAUGUGUGAAUGUGCCUUAUCAAGGAAAUGAACAGAAAAACAGACUCAUAGAAAAACAGCAGCAUGUUNCUGGGGGAACUCACUUUCACUGUGUUCCAAGAAGAAGGGAAGAGCAUAACACAGUGGUCAGCAGAGAGAUCAGAAGGGCUCUGACCUGUGUGAACCCUGCUUGUAGCCUAACCUUGGGAUCUGGGGAAGAAAUCUUAUGAUCUAGACCUGUCUCUCUUUGUUUAUACCAUAAAGAAUAUUAAGCUUAUGUCCUUUAGUUGUUAACACCAAUUAAAAUAAGUAUGGCCAAAUUCUAUAAUCUGACCAGUCCAGUAUUACUGAUAUUAGUUCUAUCAGCUCACAUUUUCCUUCAUUAUUUCAUAUGAUUUUCAAAAGAGGAAACUAAAGCAAAGGGAAGUUAGCUGCCAGAUUGACACGGGCAAGGUAUGUNCAGGUACCACUGCUCUUAUCCCUAGGACUUGAUAUCUGAUACAGCAGUGUGGUUUUGGCACCCUGUAUCCUUCUUUAAAGCAUGUAUUUUUAGGUAGAUGUGUUGCUGGAUGGAUAGAAGGAUGAAUGAAUUGAAGGUCAUGUAGAAGCAAUGACUGUUGGAUAAAUGAGUGGAUAAAGGGAUAGAUAAUAAUGGAUGGAUGGAUACUGAAGAAUAGAUUGAGAGAUGAAUGGGUAGUGAAGGGUCCCUAGGUAGCAAAAGAGUUAUGUAUGCAUG